UUUUGUGGAUGAAAAUCAAGAUGAAUACCCCAAACAUAAACCUGACAUUGUGAAGUGAAACGAAUGCAAGAGAUGCAAAUAAAACCAAAAAUGCUUAAAAAUACUUAAAAAUACCCCCAAACCUAAACCUAACAUUGUCCUCAAUGUUAAAGAAAUUUAAGAGAAUUGGGUUGCCUCCCAACAAGCGCUAAGUUUAUUGUCUUCAGCCAGACACAGUGCAUCCUUAAUUAUUUUGAUAAACAGGAUUCGUCAAAUUAAGAGAUUCGAUCAAUUGCCCAUCGGUAACACAGUCCACAUAAGGUUUUAACCUUUGACCAUUGACUUUUAAAAUAUGUCCACCAUUGAGGUGUUGGAUCUCUACUGCGCCAUAAGGAAAAAUAUUUUUCACUACGAAUGGU
rnacentral:lncRNA from 1 species